rnacentral:rRNA from 1 species
UUCUGGCUCAGGAUGAACGCUAGCUACAGGCUUAACACAUGCAAGUCGAGGGGCAGCAUUGGGAUAGCUUGCUAUUCAGAUGGCGACCGGCGCACGGGUGAGUAACGCGUAUCCAACCUUCCUGCCAGUAGGGAACAGCCCGGCGAAAGUCGGAUUAAUGCCCUAUGUUCUUCAAUGCGGACAUCUAAGUUGAAGGAAAGAUUCAUCGCUGGCAGAUGGGGAUGCGUCCGAUUAGCUUGCCGGCGGGGUAACGGCCCACCGGGGCGACGAUCGGUAGGGGUUCUGAGGGGAAGGUCCCCCACACUGGUACUGAGACACGGACCAGACUCCUACGGGAGGCAGCAGUGAGGAAUAUUGGUCAAUGGGCGUAAGCCUGAACCAGCCAAGUAGCGUGCAGGAAUGACGGCCCUACGGGUUGUAAACUGCUUUUAUGCGGGGAUAAAGUGCGGCACGUGUGCCGCUUUGCAGGUACCGCAUGAAUAAGGACCGGCUAAUUCCGUGCCAGCCGCUGC